GACGUAGGAGACGAGCGUUGUUCGGAUUUACUGGGCGUAAAGCGCGCGCAGGCGGCCCCGCAGGUCGGUUGUGAAAGCCCCCGGCUCAACCGGGCGGAGGCGAGCGAAACCGCGGGGCUGGAGGCUGGCAGAGGGUGGUGGAAUUCCCGGUGUAGUGGUGAAAUGCGUAGAGAUCGGGAGGAACACCCGCGGCGAAGGCGGCCACCUGGACCAGGCCUGACGCUGAGGCGCGAAGGCCGGGGGAGCGAACGGG
rnacentral:rRNA from 1 species